GCUCCUGACUUCAACAACUUCUUAAAAAUAUAACACCUCCAUUCUCCAGGCGGGCUCCUGACUUCAACUACUUCUAAAAAUAUAACACCUCCAUUCUCCAGGCGGGCUCCUGACUUCAACAACUUCUUAAAAAUAUAACACCUCCAUUCUCCAGGCGGGCUCCUGACUUCAACUACUUCUUAAAAAUAUAACACCUCCAUUCUCCAGGCGGGCUCCUGACUUCGACUACUUCUUAAAAAUAUAACACCUCCAUUCUCCAGGCGGGCUCCUUACUUCAACUACUUCUUAA
rnacentral:lncRNA from 1 species